GAUGAACGCUGGCGGCGUGCCUAAUACAUGCAAGUCGAGCGAUCAGAUUAGGAGUUUGUUCCUCUGACGUUUGCGGCGGGCGUGUGUGUAACACGUGUAUAACCUACCUUUCUUUCUGGUAUAACUUCGGGAAACCGGAUCUAAUACCGGAUAAUCUAUUCAUCCGCAUGGUUCAAUAGUGAAAGAUGGUUUUGCUGUCGCUUAUAGUUGGAUCCGCGCCGCAUUAGCUAGUUGGUAAGGUAACGGCUUACCAAGGCAACGAUGCGUAGCCGGCCUGAGAGGGUGAUCGGGCAACCUGGAACUGAGACACGGUCCAGCGUCCUACGGGAGGAAGCAGUAGGGAAUCUUCCAAAAUGGGCGAAAGCGUGACGGAGCAACGCCGCGUGAGUGAUGAAGGUCUUCGGAUCGUAAAGCUCUGUUAUUAGGGAAGACAAAAUGUGUAAGUAACUAUGCACGUCUUGACGGUAGCUAAUAAAAAAGCCCCGGCUAACUACGUG
rnacentral:rRNA from 1 species